CAGUCGCCGCGGGAAUACGAAGGGUGCAAGCGUUACUCGGAAUUACUGGGCGUAAAGCGUGCGUAGGUGGUGGUUUAAGUCCGUUGUGAAAGCCCUGGGCUCAACCUGGGAAUUGCAGUGGAUACUGGGUCACUAGAGUGUGGUAGAGGAUAGUGGAAUUUCCGGUGUAGCAGUGAAAUGCGUAGAGAUCGGAAGGAACAUCUGUGGCGAAGGCAGCCAUCUGGCCUAAUACUGACGCUGAGGUACGAAAGCAUGGGGAGCAAACAGGAUUAGAUACCCCAGUAGUCCCUGUCUCUUAUAC
rnacentral:rRNA from 1 species